UUAAGUUAAAGGACUCUAUUGAGACUGCCAGCGACAAGCUGGAGGAAGGUGGGGAGUGACGUCAAGUCAGCAUGGCCUUUAUGUCCUGGGCUACACACACGCUACAAUGGUCGACACAAUAGGUAGCCAAGCCGCGAGGCGGAGCCAAUCCUUAAAGUCGGCCUCAGUUCAGAUUGUAGGCUGCAACCCGCCUGCAUGAAGAUGGAGUUGCUAGUAACCGCAGGUCAGCAAUACUGCGGUGAAUACGUUCCCGGGUCUU
rnacentral:rRNA from 1 species